rnacentral:rRNA from 1 species
UACAGAGGUCUCAAGCGUUGUUCGGAUUCAUUGGGCGUAAAGAGCGUGUAGGCGGUCCGGUAAGUCCGCUGUGAAAGUCGGGGGCUCAACCCUCGAAUGCCGGUGGAUACUGUCGGGCUAGAGUGCGGAAGAGGCGAGUGGAAUUCCUGGUGUAGCGGUGAAAUGCGCAGAUAUCAGGAGGAACACCUAUUGCGAAGGCAGCUCGCUGGGACGUAACUGACGCUGAGACGCGAAAGCGUGGGGAGCAAACAGG